rnacentral:lncRNA from 1 species
AAGGGAGGAAGUCGGUCGAGAUUUUACAAUCUUUAGCAUUACCUUUCUAUACACUAUAAACUAGCAGGAUUAAAUAAGAUUUAACAAGAGCGAGUUUUCAAUUAUUUAUAAAAUCAGUACUAAUACAAAAUUUUUUGUUAAUAAAAGGAGUUGAUUUACUGAAGCUUAAAAGAGAAGGCUCUUAUUACUUGUGACCCAAUGAUUACAGAUGAUCAUUUUAUAUAUUGGAAAGUACAAUAUCUCCUAAUCCCAAAACAAUACUGAGAAGUGCUGUUUUCUAAAUGGAAUUCACAAUCUCAACUUAGUUAGCUAGUGCUACAUUAAGAAAUAGAGCCUGAAGGCUGUUAAAAAAAAAAAAGACAAUUAAGAAUUUAUAAAUCCAAUCAAUUUCAUGAAACUGACAAGAAUUACAGAGCUUAAACCCAGUAAAUAGCAAUGUGGUGAAGGUCACAAUGCUCCUGAUAUUGUUAUCUGAGUAUCAAAGUUAAACGGGGUUUCUGGUCAGUGAAAAUCCAAAGAAUUUGGAGAAAGCCUAGCCUCAGAUGGCCGCUUUUGCUUUCGUAUUUUGUCAUAUAUGCUGAAGGAGCCGAGGAAGAGCCUGCCACCUAAGAGCAGUCGUUUGCAAAGGAAAGCAGGGCCUGCUUGCUUCAGGUGGGGAGUAAGGAUCAUCUAAGUUGUCUCAAUAUUACUGGUCUGAUGGCACACCUGAGCUGCUGGCUUACAGACAAAAUCAGCGGUCUUAGCUUUCCAAAUUGUCAGUUCUUUCAUUAAUUUCCUUAUCUGACACAAAGGGAUUUGAUUUGAGGGACAGUAAAGGUUGAAAAGUAAAUACAAAGUUCAGUGUUGCUCUAUUUUUAUGUAAUUUUUAAAAAGCUAUAGACAAACGGGCAAGUAUUGAUAUGAUCCAAUUAGAUAUAUCAGAGCAUCAAAUAGAAAAUAAUGAACAGAAAGGUACUGAAUGGAUUCCCUGGAGAGGGAGAAGGCAGGACAUUACAGGCAUGAUUUUAGCCAUUUCCCACCCCCCCGACACAACACAUUGUUUUAGGAAUAUGGCAGUAUAUGUGGAUAUAAUACUUAAGUUACUUCAAUGUCUAAGUCUUAAAAAUAUUUGAUGAAUAAAAUGUUAAGAGAAGAAAAUACAAAUUUGAUUACAUGAAAGCAAAUGGGGGAUUUAUUAAUGGGGAAACGAAGGGCAGAGGACUUCUAUGUAAUUUUGUGACAUACUUUUUAAAAGAAUUCUAUUUCAUUAGUGCUUCAGUCUAGCACCAUUGUCAUGACUUUGUUAUUUAGGUUGCAUUAGGUCAGAGACUGUUGUAACAUAUAAGCAUUUGCUCUUUGACCUUCCCAAGGCUUAUGACGCAAAGAAAAUGCUGAACUUUUAUAUCUAAGGCUAUAAUUUCAUAUAAUGAACAAUCAAGAAGCACAAGCCAUAUAUUCUUUCAGCGAUCUUUUCUAAGGGCUUAAUUGUGAAGAGCUGAAACACAUUUAAAAAAAAGGGGGGGUGGGGGAGUUAGACACUUCAAUUGUCAAAACAAAUGCAAGCCAAGCAUGAAAUUUUAAAAAUGUUAUCAGCUACUAAUUAGAAGCAAAUGAGAUUAUCCAUAUAGAAAAACAUAUCCCUAAAUAAACCAAUCCUUUGUUGGAAAUUUCACUGUGCUAUGAAAUUACAGAAGCUUAAACAAGUGAUGUUUGUUGGAAUAAAAUUCACCGACAAAUCCCUUCUAAACAAUCUUCUUCCACGUUAUCAGAUUUCUUAGUUGAUGUGUUAUACGGGAAUCCUCAAUCUUAUGGCGCACACAGAGAAAAACACCUCUCUUUGCUAUUUCUUGGCAAAUCAUUAAUAAUAUAAAAAGAAAUGUUUUUAAACAUUGACUUUGCUUCAGGCUGCAAGUUGCCCUUGUGACAUCACAAGCAAGUAGCUUUUCAAAAAGAAUUUUUCAAAGAAACCAAACAGUAUAAAGAAAAGGUAAAUAACUCCAUAAGGCAAUGAGGCACCCAGAUAGGCUUGGCUUAAAAUAUACCUUAUUUUCUCACACUAAACUUUUCAACCAAAACUCCUGUCCCUUUAAGGAAAUAGAAACACACACACACACACACACACACACACACAAUACAUUCUUUGAGUACUCUGGAAAACUGAAUACUUACAUCUGUAUAUUUAGCACUUCAUAUAUCUUGUAAUACUAAUCCUAAAGGUGUAUUUUGUGGCCACUAAGUUGGGGACACUAUGUCAAAGGUAAAGUUCAUUUGUGAGAUAACCAGAAACUUUGGGGGGAAUGAAAAGAGUACCCAUGAGCAAAGGUUAAGUGCAUAGAUUUAAAGAUGUGACUCUGAAAGUUCCAGGCUCUCGGGAUUACAAGUUGGAGCACACACAUACCUCAACUCUCAGACUACCCACAAAUACACAGCUGAAAUGGAAGGAGGGUAGUUUUAAAGCAAAAUCACCUUGAGAAAUGAUCCUGCCUGAAAUGGCACUUUUCAUAUGUGAUUGUGUUAAUGAUUUCUUAUUUACCCAUAGAAUCUUUUUAAAAAUAGAAUUGUUUAAUGGCUUGAUAAAUCAAGCUUGGUCUGAAGGAAAUCCAAUAUGCAAAUACUGGUAGAGUGCUGUUUUACCAACAGUCACCCUUGUCAGUUUGAAAAAGUGAAAAUCAACAAAAGAACAGUGUAAGUAUACUUGACCUUAUUGCCUAAUGUCUAUCAAGAUUGCCACGGCUGGUCGAUUCCAAAUUUGUGAAACUGACACUUAAAAAUGUAUAGUGAAUCUUCAGUCCAGGACCCUCAAGUGCUGACUAAACUGGACUCAGAGCCUCAGAUUCUCCUUCCAUACUAACUUGCACAGCACUUACAAAGCGAGUUUAAUCACACCAUCAAUCUAUGACUACACUUUCCUUAAAGUAAUGCUGCUUCAUUUAUCUUUUAACCCUACGCUAUGCAAAUAACAUCCUUAUCAGUCCAAUAAAAA